rnacentral:sRNA from 1 species
GUAUAAGGUGAGAUAAUUAUGUCUAUGUAAGUGUAGUCAGGCGUAAUCUAUUAUAACAUCGUGACUGUUUAUAUGCAAUAUUAAAGAACCUGGGAAACUACCCAGGUUCUUUUUUGA